AAAGAAAUAAGUUAAAUAAACUAUUAGCCUUCAAAGCUGAAAAUGUACAUCUUUCUUUG
rnacentral:tRNA from 1 species